rnacentral:other from 1 species
GCUUUCCUGCGGUAUUCGUGACCUUGGUCUUUCAUCUCUUACCGAUGCUUAUGGCUAAGGCAGUUAGUUCAGGUGCAGGAGUGAACCUCUCUUUGUCAGAGGAUCCCAGAGCGCCAUUAUGAACCGACCGCCAACUUGAACUUUUUGGGUUCGAGAUGCCGACCUAGACGGUAUCGCGGGUAAUUU